rnacentral:lncRNA from 1 species
ACGACCCCCAUUGCUGAGCCAGCGGAGCUGCUUGAUCCAAAGUCCACAAAUAUAUCAUAAAUCUGAAGAGGAACUGGGAGAAGCUUCUGCUGGCAGCUCAUGCCAUUGUUGCCAUUGAAAACCCUGCUGAUGUGUCAUAUCCUGCAGGAAUACUAGCUAGUGGGCUGUGCUGAAGUUUGCUGCUGCUGCUGGAGCCACAUGUAUUGCUGGUCACUUCACUUCUGGAACCUUUGCUAACCAGAUCCAAUCAUCUUCUGCCACCCACAUCUUCUGGUGGUUACUGAUUCUAGGGCUAACUAUCAGCCUCUCUCAGGGGCUUCUUAUGGUAACCUACCUACCUACCACUGCUGUAUGUAACAGAUUCUCCUCUGAGCUAUGUGGAUAUUGUCAUCCCAUGCAACAACAAGGAAGCUCAAUCACUGAGUCUAAUGUAGUGGAUGCUGGCCCAGGAAGCUCUGUGCAUGUGUUGCACCAUCUCCCAUGAUCAUGCCUGAUCUCUACUUCUAUAGAGAUCCUGAAGAGAUUGAAAAGGAAGAGUAGGCUGCAGCUGAAAAAGGAGGAAUUUCAAAGUGAAUGGACUGCUGUAGUGCAAGUUUACUGCUACUCAAUCUGAGGUUGCAGACUGGUUUAAAGACAUGCAGGUGCCCUCUGUGCCUAUUCAGCAGUUC